rnacentral:rRNA from 1 species
UACGAAGGGGGCUAGCGUUGUUCGGAUUUACUGGGCGUAAAGCGCGUGUAGGCGGGUCGUUAAGUUGGGGGUGAAAUCCCGAGGCUCAACCUCGGAACUGCCUUCAAAACUGGCGACCUGGAGCAAAGAAGAGGCGAGUGGAAUUGCGAGUGUAGAGGUGAAAUUCGUAGAUAUUCGCAAGAACACCAGUGGCGAAGGCGGCUCACUGGCCCGAUACUGACGCUGAGGCACGAAAGCGUGGGGAGCAAACAGG